ACUUGCAACAGAGACCACAAAAGACCCGGGGGUCGUUAAAGUGGAUUACUUUUUGCAGGGUCACGAGCAUCAGUUGCAAAAGCUGCAGGACGAGCUGGACCCAGCAACGGCAGCAGCACGAGGCUUCUCGCCUGGCAGAAUCGAAGAAACAGCAUGCCACCUGCCAAAAACUACAGCCGCUCAUCAUCGGCGGUUGACAGAUCAAAGAGGCCGAGCCAGCUGAUGUCGCACACACACCACAAUGCGGCGGGCCCACAGCUUGACUGCACACAAAAAAAUAUUACGAAUGUGCAAUUGAUCCUAUAGAGGCAUACUCCUGUAUUACCCACUCAAAUAAAACGAGCAAAAUAGAUUUAUCAAAUCUAUCAAAUAAUCUCACCGAGCAAUCCACCGUGGUAAACAAUAUUGUUUACAAAGAGGACUUAGUGAAAAUUUUGGUGGCAGCUUGUUUUUCAAUUAAUUCGUUUA